AUACGAAGGGGGCUAGCGUUGUUCGGAAUUACUGGGCGUAAAGCGCGCGUAGGCGGACUGAUCAGUUGGGGGUGAAAUCCCAGGGCUUAACCCUGGAACUGCCUCCAAUACUGUCAGUCUUGAGUUCGGGAGAGGUGAGUGGAAUUCCUAGUGUAGAGGUGAAAUUCGUAGAUAUUAGGAAGAACACCAGUGGCGAAGGCGGCUCACUGGCCCGAUACUGACGCUGAGGCGCGAAAGCGUGGGGAGCAAACAGGAGUAGAAACCCCAGUAGUCC
rnacentral:rRNA from 1 species